CUGAAGGGCAAAAAGGAGGAACAGAAGGGCAGAAGGAAAACAUCACUCUGAGUAAUAAAAAGGAGCAGUGGAAAUUCACAGAGUCUUUACCAACAGCCUACUAUGAACCAAGCACUUGGGCUGCAAAAAUAGUCCUGAGGAUGUUCAAGCCCAGCGUUGGAACAGAGCCAAAAAGCCCCAGAAUGAGCCUACUUCUAUGACGUUGAAGAAGCAACUCCAGAGAUGCAAGUGUAUUUCAAAAACAACUCCAGAGAUUCAAGUGUAUUUCAAAAAUUUUUAAAGGUACAAGAUCAAAUUCCAACUGUACUGGCCUGAAAGCUUGAGACCCCGACUUGAAGAGCUAGCCCUUGCCCCCACCAGGCGCAUGACCUUGGGCACGGCACUUCACCUCUGUGCCUCAGUUUCCUCAUUUGUAAAGUGGGGCUAAGAAGCCCCUCCCUCUCACGGUCAUCGUGGGGUCCAGCCCGAGGGUACUCCUCGCUGCACCCGGGUCGUACGCAUGCAAGGCGAGCUCCCGGCCCACCUUUCAAGCACCCCUGGCUUCGGGACGGGCGGGGUAGGUGAACGCCGGACCCGAGGCCCACCGACCUCUGCCGCCUGUACCGCAGGAGCGGGAAAGGGGGGCGCGCUUGAGGUGCGUCCCUGAGACCGAGGGGGUCGGGCGCCCGGCGCCCGGAGGCUCGGCCCUUACCGCCCGC